rnacentral:rRNA from 1 species
GGGAUCAUUACCGAGUUUACAACUCCCAAACCCCUGUGAACAUACCACUUGUUGCCUCGGCGGAUCAGCCCGCUCCCGGUAAAACGGGACGGCCCGCCAGAGGACCCCUAAACUCUGUUUCUAUAUGUAACUUCUGAGUAAAACCAUAAAUAAAUCAAAACUUUCAACAACGGAUCUCUUGGUUCUGGCAUCGAUGAAGAACGCAGCAAAAUGCGAUAAGUAAUGUGAAUUGCAGAAUUCAGUGAAUCAUCGAAUCUUUGAACGCACAUUGCGCCCGCCAGUAUUCUGGCGGGCAUGCCUGUUCGAGCGUCAUUUCAACCCUCAAGCACAGCUUGGUGUUGGGACUCGCGUUAAUUCGCGUUCCUCAAAUUGAUUGGCGGUCACGUCGAGCUUCCAUAGCGUAGUAGUAAAACCCUCGUUACUGGUAAUCGUCGCGGCCACGCCGUUAAACCCCAACUUCUGAAUGUUGACCUCGGAUCAGGUAGGAAUACCCGCUGAACUUAAGC